ACUGCAGUUUCGUUUUUUCAUUCGUUUGUUCAUUUACAAUUGUUAAAUCGUUUUUAGGUCAAUAAUGGAAGAUUCGAUCUAUAAUUCCCUUCUAGAAAGAAGCGAUUCAAAAGCUUUUGAAUAAAUUCGCUGACUACGUUUCGAGUCAUGCAGAAUUGUACAUACGAAUUGCAGCCGCGAAGGAAAUUACCCGCCAAUUAUCAAGUCCCAAAAAGUUCAUUGAAAUUGAAAAAAAGAUCAGACUGGAUUAAAGAAACGUAUGAAAUUUUAACUGCUCCAGAUUCGACAGCUCGAACAGUCACGGCUGCACUCGAAAUUCUCGAAAAUUUCGUUGAUUGUCUGUCAAAUGAAACUGUCGAUUUGAUGGACAUAAUUCAAACGUGCUUGGGAACAGAGGUACAAUUGGAAGCCGAUUGAAAUGAACUGUAUAAUGCUGUUUUGAUCUUCACCACUCGAUUCAUUCAAUGUCAUGCCAUGUCAAUAUCAGUUGCAAAGGAUCUUCUUAGUUCGAUAGCGUCACAAUCAGUAGUGUUUGUGUCAAAUGUGCGUGUUACCUUUUUCAUUUUUUUGGAAAAGUUGUUUCAAAAAAUUAAAAAUCAUGUCAACGACAUCCUGAAACUUUUAGAAGCUAAUGGCUUUUUAGCGCACCUCGAUGCGAUUGCCCUAGAAAAAGCAUUGAGGGAUGUUAAUUCACAUGCAAUCAACAAUUUUCUUCAAAAAGUUAAUCAAAUUUAAUCGAUAAUGCUUCAUAUAGCACAUUUGAAAAAAGUCAUAGUAUAAACAAUUGAAUUUUUACAUUCAAUUCAUACAUACGUUCCGACCUCUGUCGGUUUAAAAAAAUAAACGAAAAAGCAUUUGUAAGCAGCGUUUUUUUUAUC